rnacentral:SRP_RNA from 2 species
GCCAGGCAUGGUGGUGCAUGCCUGUAGUCCCAGCUACUUGGGAGGCUGAGGCAGGAGAAUUGCUUGAACCCAGGAGGCAGAGGUUGUGGUGAGCUGAGAUUGCACCACUGCACUCCAGCCUGGGUAACAGAGCGAGACUCUGUCUCAA